rnacentral:rRNA from 1 species
AGUACGUGAAACUGCUUAGAGGUUAAGCCCGAUGAACCUGAAUAUCCAUUAUGGAAAAUUCAUCACUAAUUUUAAAAUAUAUAAAAAAUAUUAAAAGAAAAAAAGUGUGCAAUUUUUCCAUAUAAGGACAUUGUAAUCUGUUAAUGUAAUAAAUAUUUAUCAAAAGAUCUAUUACUAAAGUUUAUUUGAAUUAGUUAUUUUCGGAUUUCUAACAUAAAAUAAUUGUUUUAGAUUUGAUAAAUCAUUGACAGAUAUAAUUAUAUAAUGUGCUCAAAUUCGUUGGAAUUUUAUAAUGGUAUUUAAAUCUAUUGAUUUAUUUAUUUAAUUAUAUGCGCUAUUAUGAUUAACAAUGCGAUAGAUUCAGGAUACCUUCGGGACCCGUCUUGAAACACGGACCAAGGAGUCUAACAUAUGUGCAAGUCAUUGGGUAUUUUUAAUAAAACCCAAUGGCAUAAUUAACUUAACUGAUAUUAAUAAUGGGAUUAAUUUAUAAUUUGUUAUGAAUUGUUUAUUCAAUCCCGGGGCGUUCUAUAUAGUUAUGCAUAAUGAUAUUUAUAUUAUUUAUGCCUCUAACUAGAGC